rnacentral:rRNA from 1 species
UACGGGGGGGGCAAGCGUUGUUCGGAAUUACUGGGCGUAAAGGGCUCGUAGGCGGCCAACUAAGUCGGAUGUGAAAUCCCCAAGCUUAACUUGGGAACUGCAUCCGAUACUGGAUGGCUUGAAUCCGGGAGAGGGAUGCAGAAUUCCAGGUGUAGCGGUGAAAUGCGUAGAUAUCGUAAGGAAGACCAGUGGCGAAGGCGGGUCUCUGGACAGUUCCGUGACGCUGAGGCACGAAGGCCAGGGGAGCAA